GUUUGACUAGAGUCGGCUCAUGAACUUUAUGGGUCAACUCGCCAAAAUAAUAAAUUUCUCGACUUUCUUUCUAUCUUCCAAGACCGUUUUGGGGUCGACUCAUGAUCUGCUAGAGUCGGCUCGUGAUUUUUCAAUAGUCAGCAAUUUUGUGCUAUGGCUGACUUGUUGCAACUUGGGCUCGACUCUUGAGGUAGCUCAGAACGAAAUUCUCUAUCUUUGCAUGGAAGCUUUCAAAGAAUAUUUUGAUGGCCUUUUUGGAGUAGUUCUUCUUGAUGUAGAGCUUCAUAUAGAAGAUCUUCAUUUGAAAGUAACUAAAAUCUUUUCGAAACAAAUCAUUUAAACUCAAAGCAAAAGAUUAAUUAUUCAUCUUUUUACUCAAUUAUUUUGCAUCAUCAAAAUCAACCCUUUAGGAUCAACACUAGAUAUACCAUCACUUCUAUAAUGCGAGCAAAAUCCAAAUACUCAAAUGUUGCCCAGUAGAUACAACCCAAGAGGGGGGGGGGGGUGAAUUGGGUCUUUUAAAACUUUUCAACUACUUCUAAACUUUUCAAUUAAUUAAGCUAAGUUGUAUAGAUGCACAGUAGAAUUUAAACUUAGCAAUAAUUUGAUUCUAAUCUGAUCAAGAUUAAAACUAUUAAGGAGCGGACUCAAUAAACAAUUAGUCUAGAUUUUCCCAAGCAAGCAUUUCAAUAUAAUGAAUCUUAAUGCAGUUUUAUUAAAAGAAACUUGAUUAAACAAUUUGAAUAUACUUGCAACUAAAGGAUGCGCGGAUAAGAGUUAAGCAANN
rnacentral:lncRNA from 1 species